UUGGAGGGCAAGUCUGGUGCCAGCAGCCGCGGUAAUUCCAGCUCCAAUAGCGUAUAUUAUAGUUGUUGCAGUUAAAAAGCUCGUAGUUGAAUUUCGGGAUCAAUGUUUCGGUCAUGCCGUUGGAAUGUACUGAUAUUAUUGAUUUCUCACCUUCUAAAGAACCGUAAUGCCAUUAAUUUGGUGUCACGGGGAAUUAGGACUGUUACCUUGAAAAAAUUAGGGUGUUUAAAGCAGGCUCACGCUUGAAUACAUUAGCAUGGAAUAAUGAAAUAGGACAUCCGAUUCUAUUUUGUUGGUUUCUAGGAUCGAUGUAAUGAUUAAUAGGGAUAGUUGGGGGCAUUAGUAUUCAAUUGUCAGAGGUGAGAUUCUUGGAUUUAUUGAAGACUAACUACUGCGAAAGCAUUUGCCAAGGAUGUUUUCAUUAAUCAAGAACGAAAGUUAGGGGAUCGAAGACGAUCAGAUACCGUCGUAGUCUUAACCAUAAACUAUGCCGACUAGGGAUCGGAUGAUGUUAAUUUUUUAAUGACUCAUUCGGCGCCUUACGGGAAACCAAAGUGUUUGGGUUC
rnacentral:rRNA from 1 species